AACGCAUCUUGCGCUCCUUGGUAUUCCGAGGAGCAUGCCUGUUUGAGUGUCAUUUUAACUUCUCAACCAUAUCGAAUUGUUUUUCGAGGUGGCUUGGACAUGGGGGUUUUUGCAGGCUUCAAUAAUGAAGUCGGCUCCUCUGAAACACAUUAGUGGUAUCUGAAGCAGAACUGCUACUAUUAGGUGUGAUAAUUAUCUAUGCCUCUUGGUAUACUGCAUGAACAGAUUGCGCUGCUUCCAACUUGUACACCCUUUGGUGUUUGACAAAUUUGACCUCAAAUCAGGUAGGACUACCCGCUGAACUUAA
rnacentral:misc_RNA from 1 species